rnacentral:rRNA from 1 species
UGGGGAAUAUUGCACAAUGGGGGGAACCCUGAUGCAGCGACGCCGCGUGAGUGAAGAAGUAAUUCGUUAUGUAAAGCUCUAUCAGCAGGGAAGAAGAAAUGACGGUACCUGAAUAAGAAGCCCCGGCUAACUACGUGCCAGCAGCCGCGGUAAUACGUAGGGGGCAAGCGUUAUCCGGAUUUACUGGGUGUAAAGGGAGCGUAGACGGCGAUGCAAGCCAGAUGUGAAAGCCCGCGGCUCAACUGCGGGAUUGCAUUUGGAACUGUAUGGCUGGAGUGCAGGAGAGGCAGGCGGAAUUCCUAGUGUAGCGGUGAAAUGCGUAGAUAUUAGGAGGAACACCAGUGGCGAAGGCGGCCUGCUGGACUGUAACUGACGUUGAGGCUCGAAAGCGUGGGGAGCAAACAGG